rnacentral:lncRNA from 1 species
CAACGAACACUCACGUUCACGUUCACGUGAUCACGUAUCACGUUUUGCGCUGUUUCGUAAAAUAGGUGACUCUAAUUUACGAAGUGUAGGGUCUACCAUUCGUUGUUUUCCACGCCAGUAAAACACGAAUGAUCACGUCUUCCAAAACGUGACGUGAGUGUUUAAUCAAUAUUUUUAUAAUUGCAAGCGCUUGUUACUAAGACUAGUCAUGACGUCACCGUAAUAUGUAUGAUUUGUGUGUGUACGAGUGUAUACGUAUCGCCUGCGCCUAGCUAGCUGACAACAAAGUCGGAGAAUGGAUUGAAACUAAAGAGCUGAAAGAAGUUAACAACAUGAAGCAGAAAGUCCCAUGCAGGAUGAUGCUUCUCUACAGUGGGUGAUGAAGGCAUGCUGGUUUACAAACUCAGGAGAGGAACAAAGAAGAGAUAUUGACGGGAUCAUAUCUAGAGAUGCGGGCCUACUACACUUCCUACGAGCAAGUGUGCUAAUAUACAUGUAGGUACCCCAAUAAACUUUUGUGGAACACAUGUCAUGCAGAAAAUUAUAGAUCUGACGAAUAAUUGACUGAAUAUCACAAUUGUGAUUUAGAUUAAAAAUUAAAUGUCAAUAUAGAUGAAAUAUAAGUCUACGUUACGUGUGUUUCAGUAGCAUUAUUUCCAGUAUAUUCUCUGGUCCAAGUUGUUUGGUCAUUUUAUGUCCCAUACUUAAAGGUAAUACACAGUUUUAGUAUGGGGUC